GACGGAGGGUGCAAGUGUUAUCCGGAAUCACUGGGCGUAAAGCGUCUGUAGGUUGUUUAAAAAGUCUGCAGUUAAAGGUUGAAGCUUAACUUCAAAAAUGCCGUAGAAACUUUUAAACUAGAGGAUGGUAGGGGUAGAGGGAAUUUCCAGUGGAGCGGUGAAAUGCGUAGAGAUCGGAAAGAACACCAACGGCGAAAGCAACUCUGCUGGGCCGACACUGACACUGAGAGACGAAAGCUAGGGGAGCGAAUGGG
rnacentral:rRNA from 1 species